CGGUAAUUCCAGCUCCAAUAGCGUAUAUUAAACUUGUUGCAGUUAAAAAGCUCGUAGUUGAAUUUUUGCUGCAUCGUGGUUCUUCGCUAUGUCGAGUGGGCCUCGUUGUGGCUUAGUUGGGGCAUGUUUUCAUGACUCGACGUUUACUUUGAGAAAAUUAGAGUGCUUCAAGCAGGCUUUUGCCUUGAAUACUUUAGCAUGGAAUAAUGGAGUAGGACUUUGGUUCUAUUUUGUUGGUUUUAGGAGCCGGAGUAAUGGUUAAUAGGAACAGUUGGGGGCAUUCGUAUUUGACUGUCAGAGGUGAAAUUCUUAGAUUUGUCAAAGACGAACUACUGCGAAAGCAUUUGCCAAGGAUGUUUUCAUUAAUCAAGAACGAAAGUUAGGGGAUCGAAAACGAUCAGAUACCGUCGUAGUCCUAACCAUAAACGAUGCCGACUAGAGAUUGGAGGUCGUCAGUU
rnacentral:rRNA from 1 species